UACGAAGGGAGCAAGCGUUAUUCGGAAUUACUGGGCGUAAAGGGCGUGUAGGCGGCCUUAUAAGUCAUCUGUUAAAGACCGGUGCAUAACAUCGGAAAAGCAGAUGAAACUGUAAGGCUAGAGGGUAAGAGAGAGAAGUGGAAUUCUUGGAGUAGCGGUUAAAUGCGUAGAUCUCAAGAGGAACACCGAUGGCGAAGGCAGCUUCUUGGCUUACAACUGACGCUGAGGCGCGAAAGCGUGGGGAGCAAACAGG
rnacentral:misc_RNA from 1 species